AUGGUGCAGCGGGGAGAAACGCCUCCAUCUCGGCACGGGGCGCUGUGCCUCCUGCUUUUAACUGUCAAAGUGGAUAUUGUCGCCAUCAAUACCCCCCCCCCAUUGACCUCAACUACAUGGUCUACAUGUUCUAGUAUGAUUCCACCCUUGGCAAGUUCUGUGGCACAGUCAAGUCAGAGAACGGGAAGCUUGUCACCAGUGGGAAGGCCAUCACAGCUUCCAGGAGUGAGAUCCGCCCACAUCAAAUGGGAUAACGCUGGUGCUGAGUAUAUUGUGGAGUCCACUGGUGUCUUCGGUACCUUGGAGAAGGCUGGGGCUCACUUGAAGGGUGGAGCCAAACGUGUCAUCACUUCUGUCCCUGCUGCUGACACCCCCAUGUCCAUGAUGGGUGUGAACCAUGAGACCUAUGAAAACACCCACACGAUCGAUCGUCAGUAAUGCCUCCUACUCUGGCAAUUGCUUAGCCCCCUGGCAAGGUCAUCCACGACAGCUUUGACAUUGUUGAGGGACCCAUGACCACAGUCCAUGCCAUCACUGCCACCCAGAAGACCGUGGGUGGCUUGUCUGGUAAACUGUAGCGUGAUGGCCGUGGGGCUCUGCAGAACAUCAUCCCUGCAUUUACUGGCACUGACAAGGCUGUGGGCAAGGUCAUCCCUCAACUGAAUGGGAAGCUCACUGGCACGGCCUUCCAUGUCCUCACUGCCAACGUGUUGGUUGUGGGUCUGACCUGCCAUCUGGAGAAAGCUGCCAAAUAUUAAGACAUCAAGAAGGUGGUGAAGAAGGCAUCGGAGGUCCCCCUAAAAGGCAUCCUGGGCUACACUGAGGGCCAGGUUGUCUCCACUGACUUUAAGAGUGACGUGCACUCUUCCACUUUCAAUGCUGGGGCUGGAAUUGCCCUCAAUGAUCACUUUGUCAAGCUCAUUUCCUGGUAUGACAAUGAAUAUGGCUACAGCAACAGGGUGGUGGGCCUUAUGGUCCACAUGGCCUCCAAGGAGUGAGAGCCCCCAGGACCACC